UAACUACUCCCUCCGUUCGGAAUUACUUGUCACAAAAAUGGAUGUAUCUACAAUUAAAAUACAUCGAGAUACAUUCAUUUCUUCGACGAGUAAUUUCGAACGGAGGGAGUAGUAG
rnacentral:pre_miRNA from 1 species